UUGUACACACCGCCCGUCGCUACUACCGAUUGAAUGGCUCAGUGAGGCCUCCGGACUGGCCCAGGGAGGUCGGCAACGACCACCCAGGGCCGGAAAGUUGGUCAAACUCGGUCAUUUAGAGGAAGUAAAAGUCGUAACAAGGUCUCCGUAGGUGAACCUGCGGAGGGAUCAUU
rnacentral:rRNA from 1 species